UACGAGGGGGGGCGAGCGUUUGUUCGGAAUUAUUGGGCGUAAAGGGUGCGUAGGCGGAAUGAUAAGUCAGCGGUGAAAUCCCUCGGCUUAACCGAGGAACUGCCGUUGAUACUGUCAAUCUUGAGUACAUUUGAUGUGGGCGGAAUGUGUCAUGUAGCGGUGAAAUGCUUAGAUAUGACACAGAACACCGAUUGCGAAGGCAGCUCACAAAACUGUAAACUGACGCUGAGGCACGAAAGCGUGGGUAUCAAACAGG
rnacentral:rRNA from 1 species